rnacentral:rRNA from 1 species
GACGAACGCUGGCGGCGUGCCUAAUACAUGCAAGUCGAACGCAGUGGGGACGGGUGAGUAACACGUGGGUAACCUCCCAUCAGAGGGGAUAACACUUGGAAACAGGUGCUAAACCGAUACUGAUGGAUGAACCCGCGGUGCAUUAGCUAGUUGGUGAGGUAACGGCUCACCAAGGCCACGAUGCAUAGACCACCAGAAGGUGUGUGCGGCCACACUGGAACUGCUGCAAGGCCCUGACUCCUACGAGAGGCAGCAGUAGGGAAUCUUCGGCGAUAGACGAAAGUCUGACCGAGCACCGACGCGUGAGUGAAGAAGGUUUUCGGAUCGUGAAACUCUGUUGUUAGAGAAGCGGUAUCUAACCAGAAAGCCACGGCUAACUACGUGCCAGCAGCCGCGGUAAUUC